rnacentral:rRNA from 6 species
GAACGCUGGCGGCGUGCCUAAUACAUGCAAGUCGAGCGAACAGACGAGGAGCUUGCUCCUCUGACGUUAGCGGCGGACGGGUGAGUAACACGUGGAUAACCUACCUAUAAGACUGGGAUAACUUCGGGAAACCGGAGCUAAUACCGGAUAACAUGUUGAACCGCAUGGUUCAACAGUGAAAGACGGUCUUGCUGUCACUUAUAGAUGGAUCCGCGCCGCAUUAGCUAGUUGGUAAGGUAACGGCUUACCAAGGCAACGAUGCGUAGCCGACCUGAGAGGGUGAUCGGCCACACUGGAACUGAGACACGGUCCAGACUCCUACGGGAGGCAGCAGUAGGGAAUCUUCCGCAAUGGGCGAAAGCCUGACGGAGCAACGCCGCGUGAGUGAAGAAGGUCUUCGGAUCGUAAAACUCUGUUAUUAGGGAAGAACAAAUGUGUAAGUAACUAUGCACGUCUUGACGGUACCUAAUCAGAAAGCCACGGCUAACUACGUGCCAGCAGCCGCGGUAAUACGUAGGUGGCAAGCGUUAUCCGGAAUUAUUGGGCGUAAAGCGCGCGUAGGCGGUUUUUUAAGUCUGAUGUGAAAGCCCACGGCUCAACCGUGGAGGGUCAUUGGAAACUGGAAAACUUGAGUGCAGAAGAGGAAAGUGGAAUUCCAUGUGUAGCGGUGAAAUGCGCAGAGAUAUGGAGGAACACCAGUGGCGAAGGCGACUUUCUGGUCUGUAACUGACGCUGAUGUGCGAAAGCGUGGGGAUCAAACAGGAUUAGAUACCCUGGUAGUCCACGCCGUAAACGAUGAGUGCUAAGUGUUAGGGGGUUUCCGCCCCUUAGUGCUGCAGCUAACGCAUUAAGCACUCCGC